GAGGAAACAUACCAUACAGCUAAAUAUAACUACCAUAGCUAGGUGGUUAGAGAGGAGUCAUACCAUACAGCUAAAUAUAACUACCAUAGCUAGGUGGUAGGUGGUUAGAGAGGAGUCAUACCAUACAGCUAAAUAUAACUACCAUAGCUAGGUGGUUAGAGAGGAGACAUACCAUACAGCUAAAUAUAACUACCAUAGCUAGGUGGUAGGUGAUUAGAGAUGAGUCAUAACAUACAGCUAAAUAUAACUACCAUAGCGAGGUGGUUAGAGAGGAGUCAUACCAUACAGCUAAAUAUAACUACCAUAGCUAGGUGGUAGGUGGUAAGAGAGGAGACAUACCAUACAGCUAAAUAUAACUACCAUAGCUAGGUGGUUAGAGAGGAGACAUACCAUACAGCUAAAUAUAACUACCAUAGCUAGGUGGUAGGUGGUUAGAGAGGAGACAUACCAUACAGCUAAAUAUAACUACCAUAGCUAGGUGGUAGGUGGUUAGAGAGGAGUCAUACCAUACAGCUAAAUAUAACUACCAUAGCUAGGUGGUAGGUGGUUAGAGAGGAAACAUACCAUACAGCUAAAUAUAACUACCAUAGCUAGGUGGUUAGAGAGGAAACAUACCAUACAGCUAAAUAUAACUACCAUAGCUAGGUGGUUAGAGAGGAGUCAUACCAUACAGCUAAAUAUAACUACCAUAGUUAGGUGUUUAGAGAGGAGACAUACCAUACAGCUAAAUAUAACUACCAUAGCUAGGUGGUAGGUGGUUAGAGAGGAGACAUACCAUACAGCUAAAUAUAACUACCAUAGCUAGGUGGUUAGAGAGGAGACAUACCAUACAGCUAAAUAUAACUACCAUAGCUGGGUGGUUAGAGAGGAGACAUACCAUACAGCUAAAUAUAACUACCAUAGCUAGGUGUUUAGAGAGGAGACAUACCAUACAGCUAAAUACAACUACUAUAGCUAGGUGGUUAGAGAGGAGUCAUACCAUACAGCUAAAUAUAACUACCAUAGCCUGGUGGUAGGUGGUUAGAGAGGAGUCAUACCAUACAGCUAAAUAUAACUACCAUAGCUAGGUAGUUAGAGAGGAGACAUACCAUACAGCUAAAUAUAACUACCAUAGCUAGGUGGUAGGUGGUUAGAGAGGAGUCAUACCAUACAGCUAAA